rnacentral:rRNA from 1 species
UACCAGCACCCCGAGUGGUCGGGGCGAUUAUUGGGCCUAAAGCGUCCGUAGCCGGUCCUACAAGUCUUCCGUUAAAUCCACCUGCUCAACAGAUGGGCUGCGGAAGAUACUAUAGGGCUAGGAGGCGGGAGAGGCAAGCGGUACUCAGUGGGUAGGGGUAAAAUCCUCUGAUCCAUUGAAGACCACCAGUGGCGAAGGCGGCUUGCCAGAACGCGCUCGACGGUGAGGGAUGAAAGCUGGGGGAGCAAACCGG